GGGAUGGGAGGAAGCUUACUCUGAGAUGCUUGCAGUCAGAAAAUACCCAAAUAUAUCUUGAGAGAGGCUGAGGAGGGAGAAAAAAAACAACAACACACAAUAAAAACAAACAAACAAAAAAAAAGGGGGAACAGGAAAAAGUGAUUCACUAGCAGCAGUAAGGAGGAGGCGGGCUGGUUUCAAGCAGCACUUUUACACUUUUUUCUUUCUUUUUUUUUUUUUUUUGAUUUGCAGAUCUGUGAGUAGCUAAUUUUCACCUCGUGCCAGUCAGAUGGGAGGCUCCUGAGCAGCAACCCAGCAGCCUGCAGGGCCCAGGUGAUAUCUGCUGCAGGAUGAGGGUCUCCUGGAGGCUUCUGGACUCAUCCUGUCCCCUGCUGGGGACCUGUAGGGAUGAGUACACGAAGGUGACAGUGCCAGCAGGCUGAGGGAUGAAUACUCGGGUCUGGAAAUGGCAGCAGAAGGUGAGAAGAAGAGGCCUCGAUCAAUGCCUUGGCUGCUGCACAAAUACAGAGGAAGGCUCAUUCGUGGCAGGAUGAGUUUACCACAGAUGGCAAGCAGAUGUUUCAGGUGUAUGGCAGAAGAAAAGGAAGCCCGUGAACGGGGACCUCGGGCAAAAACACUAGUCUGCACGAGUCCUGAGCCAGCCAGCUCUGGAUACAGCAUCACUGCCCAUCUUGGAAACACUCCAGGCAUUAUCCAUGUUGUCCUUUAGGCAGCCUGGCUUCUACAGAUGAUGUCUUCCCUUGCAGCAGGCAAUCUUGGGACCUCUGGGGAAGGGACAUGAAGCUUCCUUUUUUCAGAGCCUGUAAUAUUUUCCAGAUUCCUGAGAAAGAAAGGGUAUUCCUCUUUGAAAUUCUGAUUGCUCGUUCAAUACAUGCUAGAGAAAGCAAGGCAUGACUAGCCUAUUAUUUUCAAGAGGUAGUAGAUGACUAUGGAUGAUAAUUAUAUUCUGUUAAAAACAUCCCCAGAGGUAGGGGUGACAUGGAGGCAGGGUGAAAUGGGGUAAUUUUGUGACCCUUCACUUGUCUUUGAUUAUUAAGGACAGCCUGUAACUGAGGACAAAAAAAAAAAAAAAAAAAAAGAUUAAUUAAUGAUGCUUUGGGCUUCAACCACAUGAAAUGUCUGUCUGCUAAGCAAAGUGCAAGCAUUGUCACUUUUACAUGCAAGGUCAAGCUACAAGUAAGGCUGGAGACUGGCUGAGCUGAGGGCAGCACUGGUGACACAUCCGUCUUCCCAUGGGCUGCACGUCGUAGCUCCAAGGAGCCACACUGAUGCUCAGUGCCCAGAGAUGCUGUAGAUAUUUUCUGUACAACAGAUCCCUGCUUCAGGCUU